UACGGGGGGUGCGAGCGUUGUCCGGAAUCACUGGGCGUAAAGGGCGCGUAGGUGGCGUGAUAAGGGUGUGGUGAAAGCCCGGGGCUCAACCCCGGAAUUGCCUUUAAGACUGCAUCGCUUGAAUCCGGGAGAGGUGAGUGGAAUUCCGAGUGUAGAGGUGAAAUUCGUAGAUAUUCGGAAGAACACCAGUGGCGAAGGCGGCUCACUGGACCGGUAUUGACGCUGAGGUGCGAAAGCGUGGGGAGCAAACAGG
rnacentral:rRNA from 1 species